AUACCAAAGAAAAUUAACUCUCUUCGUACUAGCUACAGGAGAGAAUUAAAAAAGGUGGUUCAAAGUGAGAAAUCUGGUGCUGCAACUGAAGACAUGUAUGUACCCUCCUUAUGGUUUUUCGGUGCUCUAAAUUUUCUCCGAGACCAGGAAAUUCAGGAAGAAGGGAUAUCUACAAUAGACAUUGAUGAAGAGGUACCAGGGACCUCUGGAUGUGACACACAAAAAUCCACAAAGAAAAGAAAAGUUGCUGCUGAGGGGAAAAAAAUAGAAUUACUAGAGUUAGCUUGUAAGCACCUUGAAAAGGACGAGGGUGUGGAUCCAUUAGGACAGAGCUGGGCAGAGGAAUUUAAAAAAUUAGAAGAAAACCAGCAAAUUUACGCUAGAAAAGAUAUUAAUGAUAUAUUAUAUGAGGGCCGACUCGGGAGACUCAACAUGAACUCGGUGAAAAUUAAUGAACCACAACUCUUACGAUCAGUACAAAAAUCAGAUCAUAUGAACACUGUAAGAGUAAUCACUCAUCCUGUUGUCAAGGAACAUAGGUCCAUAGAGGAUCUAUUAAAUGAUCCACAAUUUAGUUAAUAUGACUGAGUACCAGUAACUGAAAUAUAAGUAGCCUACAUAAUGUGAAAUUUAUUUCUCAUACAUUCAUGUAAUUAAUUACAUACACUAUGUUUUUAUGUAUAUACCGGUAAACAGUACUGUUAUAUUUUUGUUUAAACUCUCCCUCUCUCUCUCUUUCUCUAUCUCUCUUUCUCUCUCUCUCUCUGAUAUGCAAUGACAUUUGCUUACACCUGUGGUAAAUAUUAUUUUAAUUUCAUAAGCUGCUUCCUACAACUGUAAAAGAGCAAAUGAUAAAAUAAGCAUUCA